UUAUAUAAAUAAUAUGUAUCAUCAUCGCCAAAGAAAUGAUAUGCUUAUACGAAAUAAUUCUAACGCUUUUAAUGUGUCUGGGAAUUUUUAUCCAUAUGUAAACAAUACAUUUUAUAACUCUCCAUCUUCAACUUGUUUUAAGCCUAAUUCUACUACUAACAUAAUGAACAAUAGUUCUCCUUUAAAUAAUAAAAAUGCACUAAAUGGUACAUUACCAUCAUCAUCCUUGCCAUAUGACAAUAUUACACCAAGAAAUAACAAUGACAGUAAUAAUAUCAAUGGUAAUAAUAAUACCGUUGUCUCUAACUCUAACACUAUUAAUAAUACUAACAAUACUUAUAAUCUUUCUAACAAGUUGAAUACAAUAAAUUAUGGAGAUAAUACAAAUAAUAAGGCAAGGAAUAUAUUAAAUAAUGGUCAUGUGGGUAUAGAACAGACAAAUAAAAUGAAACCUAUACCUAAUAAUAUCAUAACUAAUAAUAUAAAUAUGAAUAAUCGAAAUUUAGAAAACAUUACAAAUGGUUCUAUUACUGCUAAUGUAAUGAAUAGUAAUAACUCACAUAUGAACCCACACAUAUAUCCACAAAUAAACCAUCUGCAUAAUAACAACAUGAAUGAUACUAACAGCUCUAGUAACAAUAGAAAUAUUAAAAACUUGAAUAUUAAUAGUUUCGGUGCGAGUAAUAAUAUGAACAACCUAGGUAAUAAUAAUAGUGGUAGUAAUAAUAAUGCUAACGCUAUUGCUAAUGUUAAUAAAACAAUGAACACAAACAAUUGGGGUAUUGUGGGUAAUUUAAAUAAUAAUAACACGCUGCCAAACAAUAAUGCGAAUUUUAAACUAAUGGGCAAUAAUAAUAAUUCCCCAUGUAACAAUAAUACAAAUCUUACUAAUUCUACCUAUCGGACAAAUAAUCAUAUGGAAACACAAAACAGCAUGGGUAGUGAUGUGAAUACUAUGGGAUAUAAUUCGAUGCAUAUAUAUAACAAAAUGGGCUAUCCUAAUUACAAUGAUUAUGCUUAUGACCAUGUACAUAUGCAAAAUCAUUACACAGGUUUAAAAGACGAAGCGAAUGCUACGACUACUAGUAGCGGUACCAACGCAAUGACAGUGCAUAAGGAAAAACUUGGCACAAGAGAAGAAAUUAUGACAGAAAAUGAACUANNNNNNNNNNNNNNNNNNNNNNNNNNNNNNNNNNNNNNNNNNNNNNNNNNNNNNNNNNNNNNNNNNNNNNNNNNNNNNNNNNNNNNNNNNNNNNNNNNNNAUGGACCGGAUAAUACUAUUAAUAGAAUGACAAUAAAUAAUGAUACCUCUUCUUAUACAAAAUCUAAAGAUCAUGGCUCUCUUACCAUGGAAUCAAAUAACAUAAAAAUCGACAAUAGUAACAAAAACGAAAUGAAUGAUAAAACUGUUGCUUUGAAUAGUAAUGACGUUGUAAAUGGUGUUGACAUGACUACUGCGAAUAAUAAUAGUAGCAACAAUAACGACAGUAAUAGCAACACGGCAUAUUCUUUAUUUCCUAAUUAUAAUUUAAAAUAUCAGUUAAAUGGUGACUUGUUUAAAAAUAUGAAUACUUAUAAUACCGUACAUAGCAAGAACAACAACAUAAAUAAUAAUUAUCAAAAUGUUAACAUGAGGAACAGUGAUAUAACGAAUACAUACAAUAACAAUAUGAACAAUUUUCCUAACAUGGUUAAUUAUAAUAUGAUUAAUAUGUAUGGUGAUGGUAGAUACAAUAAUCGUAAUAAUAAUACUAUGAACUCGAUGGAUAUGAUAAAAGCGUAUAACGAAUCUUUCAUGUAUAAUAAUAGUAACAAUAAUAUGAACAGUAAUAAAAAUAGUAACAUGAACAGUAAUAACUUGUUGCAUAUUGGUGGCGGUAGUGGUAAGGGUAACCUGGAUAAUAUGAUAAACUUAAAUAACAUGAACAAUUAUAAUAUAAAUUAUAUGAACAACAAUCUUAGUUACCCAAAUGAUAUGAAUAUGAGGAUGUUAGAUAAUAGAAAUUAUAUGAAUUGUAUGUAUAACAACAUGGGAUAUAACAUGGGAUAUCACCAAACCAUGGGUAACAACAUGAACCCCAACAACAUAAGUUUUAAUAACAACAUGAACAAUUACCACCAUAUGAAUAACAUGAACAAUAUAAACAAUUUUGGAAGUAUGAACAACAUAAACAACGAUAAUGAUAACAAUAACAAUAACAAUAACAA
ensembl:lncRNA